CUCCACCACCUUCCUCCUCAUCCCCACCUUCUUCCGGCCCGCAGCCCACUUCCCCACUAACCCCCGACCCCCACCUUCUUCUUUCCUGGACUACCCCGCGGCGGCGCCCCCAACACCCACCUACCCCGCGCCCACUACCACCCACCCAGUCCGUACCCCACCACCCCCCGGCGCCCCACCAAGCCCCGCCACCUCCCUCCUGUUCUAGCCAGCGCAACCGACGCCGCACCACCCCACCCAGCUUCUUCCCCCGCCGGCGCCGCCCCGCCCGCAUCCGGCUUCUUCCUCCGUCGGCGCUGCCCCACCCGCAUCUGGCCUCUUCCAGCGCUGGCGCCGCACCACACGCAUCUAGUUUCUUCCCUACUGGUGCCGCCGCGCCCGCAUCCGGCUUCUUCCACCGUCGGCGCCGCCGCGCCCCGGCCGUGCGCCACACGGGGAGCGACCUCCUCAACUCCCGUGCCUCCGACCUCGCGCCACCCCCUGCGUGCCUUACAUGACCACCGACUGGGCGCAACUCCCUCCCUUCCCCAGCCCAGAUCCGCCUCCAUGGCGGCUGGAUCCUCCUGAAUGGUGCAUGGCAUGGCCACUGCCUACCCUCUGCGUGACCUUCUCCUUCCUCACGAGCUCAACCCCUUCCCCAAAUUACUCUCUCCGGUAGCCUACCUAUGCGUGGCUGUCUUCCUCUCUGGUAGCCGUCGCACCAGCGACUCACAGUAUGCAGCUCGCGUGCACGUGCAGGUGCAGCUCGCGGGCGCAUCGUGUGCAGCUCACUGGACCAAUCUGGAGGUUCCCGUGGGCAUCCUCUCCCCACUGCACCCCCCUUCCCCGCGGCCUCCUGCAAGCAUGGAAAAGGUGAAGUGAUGCAGUUCGGUUGGAUGGCCUGUUCCUCAAAUUUGUUGAAAACUGCACUUCAUUAGUUCAUUGUAAAACACUGCAGUUCAUUACCGCGAUUCGGCUGGUGGAGAGUCCAGAUUCUGUAUGUGUGUAUAGCUGUGUAUAACAAUUAGAUGGAUGUCCAUCUUUUGAAGCUCA